GGAGAUGUGGAACGGGACGUCCAUGAGAUGGGGCUGCCUUCACCUCCGCCCCACCCUUCCAUGUGGCUCGCUCAGCUGCCAGCCUACCGUGAUGGAUGCGGUGGCGAGGACGACCGGCAGCCCCCUGGUGAGGUUUGACCAAAGGAUGGAUGUGUUUGCUGAAACAAAGUUGCAAAGAGAUGGCAUCGAGUUGAGUACAGGAUUCAGAGUGAUAAAGGUCUCUGAUGAUUUGAUUGCAGUGAAGUACAAAUCAUCUGGUGGAGAAUCAUUGGUGCCAUAUGGGAUGGUCGUUAACAUCUCAUCGAACUAUCGGUGUUCCUUUGUUUUUGGAUGCAUGAUCGGAGGACGAACCUGUCGUACUCGCAGCAUGUGUCACUGGUGUACACGCCGGUGCCGCCAAGAAGGAGGAGCAGGUGGUGUACGAGGCAGCCAGUUGCAAUGGAGGAGGACGAGAUCCACGAGGAGGGCUUCCUAGAGAUAUCACAACAUCUCCAAAUGUUACAACAAGGAGAAGAAAAGGCAAGAUGUUUAAGGCUGGUGCACCCUGUUUAAAUGAAUGGUUUUACAGUUUGGUGCUGAACAAUAUGAGAAAGCUGCUGCUGGAGGUGGUGGAUUCGAGGGCGGUUUUGAAAAUCCUAUUGAGGAUAUUUUUGGUUCUCUUAUGACCGUACUGGCAGAAUGAAUGAUGUAUGCCAUCUAUUCUGAGUUGUUAAUCUUGUCUACUGCUACAGCAAUGGGUAAAUUUGUCGGGUUUCCCCUGUUGGUUACAUUUUCAUUGCUCUACUGUAUGGAAAGCUGUUAAAACUAAAGAAUGGCAACCUGUGGUUACUUCAUACCAUGGAUUUGGUACAACACUGGAUCUAUUUUAAUAAUCCAUCUGAAUAAGCAGAACUAGACCCCAUGGCAAUUAAAAUGUUGGUUCAGAAUAUAUAGUGGCUUAUAUUAUUUGUGUAUAGAAUAAUUUUUUGUGGGCUAUAUAGAGCAUCAGUUUAGCACAUUUAACAUUUGUUGUUACUAGGAAUGCAUACAGUUAGUUACUAUUACCUUAUAUAGACUUGCAAUGGCAUCAUCUCACAAAAUUGCAUGUGUUGUAUUAAAGGCAUCUAAAAUAAUUCUUUUCGGAGGUCAAUGGCAAGAGGUGAAUGAUAUAUUGGUAUUGUACAGAGUCUUCGAUCCAAAGGGUAAUGCUUGCUGGAUAUAGGGACUGCCGCAACCCACAGGUUUUCCAUCGACAGAUUCCAGUUGGUGUCACAAAGGAUAUAUGCUCAUUGGAUUUGUUGAUGUUGAAGCAUCAGUGAGAUCACAUGAAUGCGGAAUCAGGGUGCUUAUGAGAUCACAUGAAUGAGGUAUUACACCCGCUCCAAAAGUUUCUCAAAUAUACUCUAAAUUUGUUGUAUGUAUGAUGUUUCCGUUGUUCAUUUCUGUUAUUUUUAUUUCUAAUCCUAAUAAGAAUACAAGCAGUGCUCAUAUUCUUGUGUUGUAUACAAAGUGCCCAUAUUCUUGUGCUAUUAUGACAAAUUCUUUAGACACAUAGAAGUCAUAUCUGGUUUACAACAUAUUUAUCAUUAUGAAAUUGUAUUAAUACUAUACAUCUUAUCCGUCAGUUGCUCUUCCUAAUCCGAAGGAACUUCUGGCCCGGAAUCCAACUGAAACUAAAUUUCAGAAAAAGUUUGUUGUGUAUGCAUGGAAAUACACUAUGAAUCUCCAAAUGUUCAGUGGUAAAAUCUUGCAAGAUGAAGAAGGUAGUUCUUCUUAAUGGUAAAGCAUGUAUUGGAUGAUAGAGUUGAUAGCAUUUCAAUCUCAGUGUUGCAUAUUACCAUAAGGAUUUAGUUAAGGUCAGACCUUUGCUUUAAUAGUUUCUUCUAAAUUGGACACAAACCCCAUACCAUGUCUUUGAGACGGAGUUGGUUCACACUUGUACUGCUGGAGGGCAUGCGUCUCUGUGAAGCCAUUUUCAUGCAGGUUCACACAUAUUUGUCUUCCACAUAUAGAAAACUAACAGACGUUAGCAUCAGGUUAUUUGUUUUCUUUUGUAAAAGGUAUGGAAGCUUUAGUCUAAUUAACAAAAGGAAGCUUUACUGAGCAAGACAGAAAAAUAAAUAAAAUUACGACAUGAAUUGAAUCAACAUUUUAAAUGCCAGCCAGAUCAAAAGAAUUUUUUUUUUACAUAAUACUUGUUAGAAUUAUAGAAAAAAAAUGAAGUCCUCCCUGUGCUGGAUAGAACCUUCUCCAGUUCAUGUUUAGUAGGGCACCAACUACUUUGUAGUAUGCAAAAACAUGAUGAGGUCCAUCGGCUCCUGAACCAAGCAGGGAAAUAGUUCCGAAAGAUAGACCGCCUUAAAUAAGAGUGCAUUUUUUGAUUAUUUCAUGAAGCAGAGAGGAUUUUAAUAAGCCGUAAGGUACUAAUUUUUUCCUAUGUAGCAAAGUAUAAAGAUAGGGCCUCAAAAUUUCAGUACUACUAUCAUUAUCUUGGAUCAGAUGAUGUUGGUUUUGUUAUUCUACAUGCCCUUUUGUAGUGCGUGAGGGACACAACUAUAUAUGGUGCUCUUUGGAUUGAGAAUGUCAAAGCCGGCUAUAUUGAUAGGCUUGUGCAGAUUAUUUCGAAAGAGACAGAGGUUGCUAUGGUUUGUACAUUCAAAAGGAAAAUGUAUCUGUUCAAGGCAGUGAGGUAUGUCCCAUGUUUACUCAUACACACAACCUGUCUUGUACUUCCUGGUGGCAAUACAUUAUUUGAUAUCAUCUCUGUCUAUUAUUAUUCGGGUUGAUGUAUUGGUUCUGUUUAUCUCUAUUAUUAGAAAGUACUUGCAGCAGUGUCUUUCGGCUAUAGCUAAGGAAGAAAUAUUCUGACAUUUGUAGCUUCUAAAUGUAUUGUAGCACAUUUGGAUAGAUUCUUCAUUAUCAUAACAAAUGUGAUGAUGCGGGUCUAUAGACAGUUCUGAACAUAAGCACUAGAAAAUAUGUUUGUCUGCGAUGACCAUAUAAAUAAAUAUGGUCUAUCUCCAGUCUGAGUAAUAGUGCUCAAACAAGUCAAAUUCUAUAUUUUAGAUUAGUGGUACAUAUUGUCGUCUUAGUGCUACCUUCAAUUGGAGCAUUGUAUAUGACGCUAAGCAACCAGUUCUGCAAUCCACUUUUAUUCAUGCAAUUAUUUUUUGGAGCAUUAUAUAUUGCUUCCUGCAUCUAAACUUUUAGCAUAUACUCCAUCCGUCUCGAAUUAGCUGUUGCAGAAAUGGAUAAAAAUGUAUGUAUAUAGAACUAAAAUAUGUCUAGAUACAUCUAUUCCUGCAACAAGUAAUUUCGGGCGGAGGGACUAAUGUGUGAGCAAGCUGAUAGACGAGGAGGCCGAGCCAUCCCCAAGGGCGUCGACAUCAUCUUGCUCCUUGCCUUGUGGGGCGGAGGAUGAGGAGGCGGGUAAGUCCACAGCGCCGUCGUCGUCGUUCUCGCCUUCGAGCGAAAGCGGGUGUUGAACGUGCUUGACCGAGGGUGUCGCGAGCAACCUGAUCGUUUAUGUAACCUAAGACUAGUGCCUGUUGCACCACAUGCGCCCGUUGAUAUCUAUGAUCUAUGAUGUCAGCUGCUUUUCUUUUA